AAUUCGUCACAACGGCUUCCUGACGUGGCGACAAACAAUACCGGAGCA
rfam:Puniceibacterium sp. IMCC21224 IMCC21224_11, whole genome shotgun sequence.